rnacentral:rRNA from 1 species
AGCGAACGCUGGCGGCAGGCCUAACACAUGCAAGUCGAACGGACCCUUCGGGGUUAGUGGCGGACGGGUGAGUAACACGUGGGAACGUGCCUUUAGGUUCGGAAUAGCUCCUGGAAACGGGUGGUAAUGCCGAAUGUGCCCUUCGGGGGAAAGAUUUAUCGCCUUUAGAGCGGCCCGCGUCUGAUUAGCUAGUUGGUGAGGUAACGGCUCACCAAGGCGAUGAUCAGUAGCUGGUCUGAGAGGAUGACCAGCCACACUGGGACUGAGACACGGCCCAGACUCCUACGGGAGGCAGCAGUGGGGAAUCUUGCGCAAUGGGCGAAAGCCUGACGCAGCCAUGCCGCGUGAAUGAUGAAGGUCUUAGGAUUGUAAAAUUCUUUCACCGGGGACGAUAAUGACGGUACCCGGAGAAGAAGCCCCGGCUAACUUCGUG